rnacentral:lncRNA from 1 species
AUUUGUGAUUUGUGGAUGAUAAAAAAGUGUAGAAACUUGUGCUAUUAAAAUUAGGUAAAAAAUUGAAUGAUAUUUGUCUAAUUUUGGAAUGAUUUCAUUUGACUUGAUUUUAAAUUUUGAUUUUAUAUUGAAUUUCCUUGAUUUUUAGACUAAAAAAUAUGAAAAAUCAAUAAUAUGAUAGUUAUUAAAAAUAAAUAAUAAAAUGUGCAAUUUUAAUUGUAAAAUAAAACAUAAAAGGGAGAAAAAACUCUAAAAGUGAAAAAACAUAAAAAAAGAAAAACUCAAAAAUUGAGGAGAGUGAGAAUUAAACUCAUGACCUCUUAUUUAUACUCUUUUGACAAACUCUUCAAUCAAAUGGGCUAUUAUGUUCUUUCGAAAUAAAGUAGAAUCUAAAGAGUAAAAUGUAAAUGAGAACUUGAUUUCCAUUUUGACCCUUUUACAAAUGAUACCAUAUAUUUCAUUUUCUCUUUUUUUCUUUAUAAAUGCAUAAAAAUAUUAUUUGUCUAAAAACUUAAAAUAAAUUUUAAAAUGAAAUUUAUUUAUUAUUUUUCUUUGUAAAACCUAAAAAGGUAAAAAAUGAAAAUGUGGUUAAACGAAAUUUGAGACACAAGCCCGAGACCAUAUGAUCCUGCUCCUUACACAUGCUCUCUUAUCCAAUAUGUCAUUUCAUUUAUUCAAACUAAAGUGACACUAGAAAAUAUAUGAAGGAUGAACAAAAUUUGGGAUACGACACUACUUUCCUCAAAAUAUCAUACUCAAACAUAAGCCAAAUUACAACCUGAAAAGACCUCUAAUGUGUGUGUUGUGAUUUCUAUGAUGAACUCUAUUAGAACAUGAUCAAACUAAGUAUAAUUGAUUUUGCAUGUUGAUUGAGAGACCACCUUAUCCAUUGAGUGAGUUAUAGUAAGUUGAGAGACAGGUUUAGUACUCGUAAAUGUUAAGGACGUUUUCUGAAUUCAUCGGAUAGAAGUUGGAAGACAGAACAAUGGUUAGAUAGAAAUAUUUAAUUUGGUGAUGCUCGAUUGUUAUUGUGCGACUUGUUGUCUAUUGAAAUGUGAAGUUGCAAGCGAGUUACUUGAGGACAAGCAAUGAUUCAAGUUUGGGAUUGUGAUAAUAGUCUGUCAUUGCAUAUACUUAGUCGAAGAAUCAGAGCAAAACAAGUGAAUGUUAACCUAAAAUGAAGAAAAGUGACCAAAGAAUGAGGAAAAAAUAGCUAAGUGUGAAAACUGUGUUAGUGAAAAUUUGAGUGAAAAGGGGAGCAAGAGCGUGCAACAAUGGAAUAAUCACGCGUAGCAUCGUGCAUGCGAUAAUGACAUAAAGGUUGCAUCGCGUGCACGAUGCAAGGUAUCAUGCGUGUGAUAGACACUUUUUAUGGGCUUUUCUGACGCGCUCUGGUCCAUUCUGACGCCUUUAAAAGGGGAUUCCCUGCACUUUCAGAAGGGUUGUGAAAUUUGGAGAUCAAUGCACGAUUUUAAGAGCACAAGUAGUGAUUUUAGAGCAUUUUAAGCCAUUGGAGGCCAUUAUUUCAAGGGAUUUCACAUGUUAUUUUCAUCUAUCAAUUAUGGUAUUUUUAAUUGCACUAUGAGUAACUAAGCUCCUAUAGGUUAGGUUGUGCUAUGAUGAACCUAUUUCUAUAUUGUUGGAAUCUAUGUUGAUUUGACUACUGUAUGAACCUUUUGAUCUAUAAUGUCAUUCAAUUGCUUCUUAUUCGUAAUGCUUUUUAUGUGAGAUGCUCUUUUAAUCUGAUUUUGGGCACAUGGAGAAUACUGACCAUUAGUCUAUGUGUUAGACCUAGGGAAAUUUGUGUACUUACGUUGGUUGAAUAGGAAUAAGAGACCUCGAGUAGUGGCAUAUAGAAUUAACGUUUUAUACACCGUCUAACCCUGCUUACGCUGACGAACUAGGGAUAGAGAGCUCCGAGUAAUGGUUAGUGAGUUAUUUCAUGAGGUAUCAACUAUAACGGUUUUGUUAAUUCACAUCGGUAUUAUAGUGAUAAGAUCAUUCAUAUAAGGCAUCAAACAUUAACAAUAGAGGAAUAGGGGAUUCUAUAACACAACUUGAAUCUUGACUGCUUUCGUGAUAUUUUUUACUCGUUUAUUUAUUUUUCGCACUGAAACUUGAAACCCCCAUAUUUACUAGUUUUCUAUACAUUGCAUACAUUUUGUCUUGCUUGAAGGAAGCCCCCGUGGAUUCGAUCUUUUUAUGACUUCAAAAUUAUUGGUACACUUAUCGAGAAGUCAUCAAUCAUUCAUAUAAACCAUUACAAAGAUAAAUGGAUAGAAAAUACAAAUUAGGAGUUAAGGGUCGGAAGUGGUACUGGAAACAAAGGUGAACCAAAAGGGCAAGGACAAGCAAGGGAGAACGAAUGGCUGAAGAAGACUCAAAGAAAACACUUCUCCAAUAGAUAAAGAGGACACCAUAAUUAAGGAUUUCUAGAAGAUGAAAUAUGGUUUCUCAUAAGCUAAUUAUUCUUCAAUUAGUAUUGAGAGCGAAAGUUCAUUCAGAAAGUUAAAUGGACCAUAUGUAGGAAAGGGUUGCCCAAGCAAGCGAUGUCCAGAUGAAAAGAAAAUUGGAAUAUAAAAAACAACAGUUGCAUCGCACCUAUGAAACACUAUAACACUCAAGUGAACUCAAGCACCCUAAGGGAAAAUUUCACACCCUAACCUGCUAGCCUAGGGCCACAUGUUUAAGGUUUAUGUGAAGUGUCCCAAUGAUGAGAAAGUAAUCUAAUAUGCAUGUUCCCCACUCCCCUUUGGUCGGGCACAUCAAUUGUCGUACAUGGUCAACUCGACAGUAUAAGGCCAAUAGGGAUCCUAAAAGACUUCUCGUUUAAUACUUCACAACAAGUUUUGGGGAUAACUGUUUUGGGCCAGCCAAAUGCACAAUAAAGGGAGACCCACUUACUUCUCCUUAGAAAUCCAAGGAUAUAAAUACUUCUAGACGCAUACACAAACACAUAAAUACACACACACACAUACACACAUACGCACACACACGCAUACACGCAUACAUACACAUACGUGCAUACAGAUACACGCACACUUGCAAGCGCACGCGCACACAUACACACACAUGCACACCCACACACAGACACACACACAUGCACGCACACAUACAGACAUACACACACACAUUCACACACACACACACACACACACAUUUUUCAUACUACUCUCUACCCUCCUUUUGGGACUCAUCCACUGACUAGGGCAUUGAAGUGCUAAGCUUACAAGUCUAUCACGUGUUCUGCCGCACCGAAGGUUCGCAACACCACAUAAGAAUUCCGCCGUAUCGAAGGUUUGCAACACCACAUAAUAAUUCUGCCGCAUCAGAGGUUCGCAACACCACAUAAGAAGUCAAACAUCACAAUUCAAUUAUAAUUUUAAUUCCGAUCCGAAACACGUCCUUUUCAAGUUGAACAUUUACAUUCUUCAAGAAAAAGACCAGAUUUUUCAAAUAUUUAUCUUUUCGUUAAACAUUAAAAAUAUUUGAUUGAGAUAAUGAAUAAUACAAUGUUUUCACUCAACAUAAGCCUUUGAGGAGACAUUAACCGAAAAAAUGAUAGAAUUACGGGAAUACGUAUAUUUUUAAAUGGGAUUCAAUAAUCGACUUCAACCAAAUCAACAAUGAUGUGUGAUACUCUCUCUAGGUGUUAGUUUUUUCUUGUUCCAUAAAUUAAAUAAUAAUUCACUACUACAGAAAGUAUAUACAAAAACGCCCAUCUUGCCACGGUCCUUUGAAGGAACGUGGUGACAUCUCUAAACUCAGACGCCAACAUUUUCUUUUUUUUAAUAAAAAAUUAUUAAUAUAUUACCAUGGUUAGUUAGUCUAACUAUGAUGAUAUAAUCAAUCUUUCAUGAGUUCGAAUCUCAGUUCCAACAAAUAAUUUAUUUCUUUAACAUUUUUUUUGCACCUUUAUUUUUGAUUUAUUUCUAAAUAAAAAAUAAAUGUGAUAUUAUUACAGUUGUUUAAAUUAACCGUUGCGAUAGAUUUUUCAUUUUGUUUUACAAAAUUUAAAAGGUUAAUGACUGGCGUUUCUUUAUAAAAUCAUUAAGUAAAUGGUAUAUCACCACGGUUAUGGUAAGUAACCGUGGUGGUAUCCCUUAUUCGUUUUCAAGUAGCACAACUAACUAGUUUGUCUCUUCAGUUACCAUUUUUUCCACUAAGAAGCGAGACGAAUUCAACUCUGACAUUCAUCUUCUCGUUCAUCAAUCAUUAACGAAACGAAACAUGAUUUCAAUCCUAACAUUCAUCCUUCAUUGUGACUUUUUGUUUUCAACCGAAAAAUCAACCAUCUUCAUCUUCGUCUUCACCUUUGCCAUUUUGCUCACGAACCUUCGAGGAGGAAGACAACAUCGUCGUUUUUCUCAAGAACUGCCAUGAAGUUUACUUAUUCAUCAUCUCACAAUAUAAUCUCCUUACUUAUUCAUCACAUUUUCGAGACAUAUUUUUUCCCAUGCAACUACAGUAACUUCAGUUGCCGUUGUUGUUGAUGUUUAUAUUUAUGUUGUUGAUGUUGAAUGUUUAAGGUUGUUGUUGUUGAAUGUGUAUGAUCACAUUUGAUUAAUAUUUUAUUGUUGUUGUUAUUAUUUUUUCAAUGUGUAUUAGAGACAUUUGUUUAAUCUUUUGUUGUUGUUGUUGUUGUUAUGUGUUGUUUUGUUGUUGUUGAAUGUGUAUGAUCAUAUUUGAUUAACAUUUUGUUGUUCUUGUUCUUGUUGUUGUUAUUUUGUUGAAUGUGUAUUAUAGAUAUUUAUUUAAUCUUUUGUUGUAGUUGUAGUUGUUGUUGUUAUUGUUGUUGUUGUUGUUGUUGUAUGUUGUUUUGUUGUUGUUGAAUGUGUAUGAUCUCGUAUUUGAUUAAUAUUUUAUUGUUGUUGUUCUUAUUUGUUAAAUGUGUAUAAGAGACAUUUGUUUAAUCUUUUGUUGUUGUUGUUGUGUGUUGUUUUCUUGUUGUGGAAUGUGUAUGAUCAUAUUUGACUGGUUAAAAUUGGUUUAAUAUUUUAUUGUUGUUUUUAAACAUAUAAAUGUUGUAUUCUUCAUCUAGUAGUGACAAAACUUGUACAAACGUAACUCUUACAAAUGAUUCUCAAGACGGAAAGAAAAGAAAACAAAGAGGUGUCAUAACGAUGACUCGACUAACAUAAGUCAACAACUCUGGUCACAAAUUUCUGACCGUGUUUGAUGUGUUUUAUAUAGUAGUUAAUGGUGAUUAUUCUUAGCUUUUUAAGAGCCAUGUUGCUUUCCUUGGAUGUAGCAAAGUCAGUAUAUUAAUAGAUGAUUGGAAAGAAGCAACAGCUGAUGUUAAUGAUAGCAUAUGAACAAACGUUAUGGUAUUGAUUAUAAUUUGUAUCUAUUCAAUAUCACUUUCUAUAAUUUCUAAUACAUACUUAUUGAUGUAAAUGUAGUUGACUUUUGAGUUUACCAAUGAUUCGAAGUUUUAAAAAAGGUGGAUUAGUUAUGAUGGUACGUGUUGGAGGGGCUUUAAGCCACGACUCACGCGUGACUACAUUAUGAAGCCUAAGCCUGACCUUGAGCGUCCAUAGGUGAGAUAUAGUUUUAUUUCGAAGAAGGUUUAGAAAAAAUGUUGUGAAGUCUCGUCGUUAUGACAAAUUCCUGGUUAGUACUAAUAUUAUUUUUCUGAUAAUUUUAUGUUUAUGAUUUAUAGAUGCUAAUCAUAUUUUCACUAUGUUUAUAAAUGCUAAAAGUGAAGUAGGAAAACAAAAUAAGACAAAAAAUAUAUACCCCUAUAGAUUGUCUCGUGGGGGUUACAGGAAACUUGAGAAAACAAUGAUUAAUGAAAAAAACAACAAAUGAGAGAUGAGGACUCGAUUAGUCGUGAUCGCAACUCAUCUCCACUGUCACAACAUGAGAAGUGGAAGAGGGCUCGACUAAGACCAAAUGGAUAGUACACCUCAGAUGCCUAAAGAGCAGUUGCUGAGAAAAUUGUAAGUAGGACUUGUUGUGCAUAUAUAUGUUAUGUGUUAUUUAAGUUACUUUUGUAACAAUAUAUAUCAUCAUAUUGUGUAGGAUCUGUUAGUUGCGUCGGCUCGUGAAGGUUCUUUUGUUCCACAACCAUGACAUGAUAUUACUUAACACCAUUUAUCAAUUCGUAAGUAAUUUUAAAAUUAUGGUUUAUCUAUUAUAGUUAGUUUCCAUGUUUUAGCAAAUAUUAAUUAUAUAUGCUCGUGUUUAUUCAAUGAUAGUUAGCAAUUGAUCAUCAUAUCUCUUAGGACGAAUAUGGUAAUCACAUUGUGUUCCUUACAUUAUUCACUUGAACCUAACAUGAAAUUUAUUGUUUCUAGGUAAGUUUAUGUUUAUGAGACUUUUAGUAAUAUUGUCUUUGACUUUGUAAUUAGUUUAACGCGUAAUAUGUAUAAAUCAUUUUCAGGGUUGUGCAACGACAUUAUUACUUGAACAAUAUUAGAAAAAAGCUCACAUUUAUUGCACCUAAGGUAAGUAAAUUACUUGUGAGAUUCAUUUAUAUAUAUAUAUAUAUAUAUUAUAUAUAGUUACAUGCAUGUGUGGUUAUAUAUUCAUGAAAUAUUUAAAUUUGUAGACGAGGAGGCAACCAAAGGGAUACGAGUGUGGGUGUUAUGUCAUGAAACACAUGUUACACAUUGUUGAUUAUUGGGAACAUGUAUAUAUUAUAUAUGUAAUGAAAUGUUUACAAUAACAUAUUAAUGUUUAAGUUUGCUAUUAUUUCAAAUCAUUUGAUAUUUGACUUUCUCCACUUUUUUAUGUAGAUGUUUAUCGGAACUGCACCAUUUCCCACCGACGAUUAUAAAGACCUUCCUAAACAUUGGGCGAUUUGCUUCAAUUCUCUUAAGGCAAAGGGUGAUCAAACAUGAUUUUGUAAUAUAUGUUUGAUAUAUUUUUAAGAUUGAUGUAAAUGAUAUUUUUUAGGUUUAAUGUAAAUGAUAUUUUUGGCUUUUGAUAUAAAUGAUAUUUUGACUUUUGAUUUAAAUAGUAUUUAGGUUAAAAAAAUACAGGUACAAAAAUAAGAGAUAUAUAGAUAUGAAAUAAUAUUAAAAAUUUUAAAAAAUAAAUAAAGUAUUUCAACAAGGUUGAUUCACAUGACCUUGGUGAUAUGUAACCGCUAAAUAUAAUAUACCAUAUAAAUUAUGAGCAAACUCGUAACCUUUUAACUAUUUAACAAUGAUUAAUUAGAAUAACUAUCAUAAUAAGUAAUGCGAUAUCUAAUAUAUGAUCACACGUCCGUGAUAAUAAAUAGCAAACUUACGACCACACUCUGCUCCACCACGACUGAUAUGCGUAAUAGUAUAUCUUUUAUAAUCAUAAUUAAAAAGAUUUUGGUAGUUGUUAUUACUAAAAUUUUGCACACACAGUUGAAAAUUUUCAAAUUUGAAGUCAAUACAUGAUACAAAGAUACACAAUUUAACAAUAUAUUUAUUUAUUAGUAGUUGAGUUAGUAGUUAUCGAUGUAACUGUACUUUUACUUCUCAAUAGUUCAUACAUUAUUUUGGUGAUAGCAUAUUUAAAUAGGUGAUAAUGGAGUCAUUAACAAUAGGUGAUUAUGACUGAGUUGGCAAAUCAUAUGCAUAAUAUUUUUAAUCCAAAAACACACAAUUGAAAAUACUACAAUUAACUUAAAUAAUUAUUUAUAAGUACAAUAUAACUUUUUUUUUAGAAUAAUAUAACUCUUAUUUUUUUUUGAGGAAAAUGUAACUCUUAAUUACCUUUAUUAAAAUGCAAUUUUUAUGUCGACAAAAAAUCUAUUAUUCCCCAAACUGAUCCAUUACUAUUUUUGCGCAAAUAAUUUAACAUAUAGUACACCCCAUUCCUUUGAACUUGAUGUUGCGCAAAAAUAUCUAAGCUUAAAAAACCUAAACAAUCAAUUGGAUUACUAAAGUAGCCAUUGAUGUCAGGUAAGGAAACUUUCAAAUACUUGUCUUUACUAUGUCAUUUUUUCAUUUUCAAUAUAUAUAUAUUAAAUAUCAUAAUUUUUUCUUAACAAAAGAAAUAUAAAACUAAUAUUUUUCGAUAAAUAAAGUUCCUCGAACCAGAAUAUUUACCAUUUACGUGAUUCAAGGGGUACCUUUUUGAAUUGUAAACCACUGUGUACAAAUAAUUGAGGGGACCAAAAUCCAAUUUAGCUAUUACCUAAUCCAAUCUAAGAACAUGUAGAUGGAGGGAAAUAAAAUUCAAUUACCGAAAGGCACUUUUUUUCUAUAUAAAAGUAACCUUACCCUACAAAAUAUGUCAUACGAUAUAAAAAGCUACAUGUCUUCAUACCUUAUUUUAUUUUAUGUUUUUCCAAUAAUUUUAUUUUGUUUUUAUAUUGUACAAUUACAGUUCAUCAACGUGUCAGUCAUGGUCUACUAAUAAUACCUUCUAUCUCCCGUGGGUCACUCACAGAUCAUAUCGCUUAUCUUUUUAUAGUUCUUAUCACAUUCAUUAUAUUAUGUUUAAUCAUGUCAUUAGAGUUGUACUAAAUUAUUAAUUUGUUGUAUUACGCCACUUAAAACAAAUCAUUAACAGUACAUCAUUUUAUUUUAUGUGCACAAGAUAAUCAUUAACAACUCUAUUGCUAUAAUCAUGCACGUCAUAAAAAGUAAAUGAAAUGUGUAGUAGGUUCCAUUGCUCUUCGAACAAUCUACACAACAAAAAACCAGAACAUUUUUACCACUAAUUUGCGAGAUGACGUGGCUCUUAUCCUAUCUGACACGUGUCAGUACAUGAAAGGUUGCUUCGCUGUGUUUGAGAGCAAAUGCCAACGACUCUAGUGAUAAGGAUAUAUACAAAAAUAAUAAUUGAAGUAAAAAAUGAAAAUUAUUUAAUUUAAUAAUUUUGUUUAACAAUAACAAAUUAUUAAGUACAUACUAUAUUGUAUGUUCUCCAGAAGGAGUUGCAAAUAAAUUCAGUCAAUGUUCAAUUGUUCACUAAAUUUUAUCUUGACCGGCUAAUUAUUCUUUUACUUUCUUAAUUUUGUUUAUAAAAUAACCGAAAUUUUACAUAAAUAAAAAAACAUAAGUAUUUUAUUUAUUAAAUAACCUAUUUUAUAACAUGUCAUACAGGCUGGCAGCAAAUUAGUAUUGUUUCUUUUUUGGCUUGGUGUUUUUUAAAUUAAAGAUUCCUCCCAAUUUUGGACGUAUUAUUAUAAAUAAAUUUGUAAUAUUGAAAUAUUUUUCAACCGGUAACCGGUUAAACCCGUGAAACGGAAGGCCGGUCGUUCUCCAUAUAAUAACACACAAGCAAGCAGAAGCGAAAGCAAUCAGUAGCGAAAACAAGAAAGCGCUUACAGUAACUGAGAGUGAGAGUGUUUAUUCCGAUUCUUCAUCGGUGAUAAAACGCAAUCCUAACCAUGCCGAUCAGAAACAUCGCCAUCGGAACUCCUCAAGAGGCC